rnacentral:lncRNA from 1 species
UAUCUGAGCACUAGCUUCGAGCCGGGCAUCCAUCUCAGCACGGGGUGGGGGGCUGCAGCCUGGAGAGGAGGAGCCCCCCGGCAUGGCACUCAUGCUGACAACAGACAAGGAAAAUGGAUAAACAAGCAAGGGCAUUAGGGACGGAGGGAGGAGUGUUUUGAGUGCAGGGACCUGCGGGUGCCACCACCCUGGUAGUGGAAGGGCAGGAGGAGACCAGGUGGGGUGAGGGGGACAGGAGAGCAGGGGAAGGGGCUUGGAGGGGCG